rnacentral:rRNA from 1 species
CCUACGGGAGGCAGCAGUGGGGAAUAUUGGACAAUGGGCGCAAGCCUGAUCCAGCCAUGCCGCGUGAGUGAUGAAGGCCCUAGGGUUGUAAAGCUCUUUUGUGCGGGAAGAUAAUGACGGUACCGCAAGAAUAAGCCCCGGCUAACUUCGUGCCAGCAGCCGCGGU